CCAUUGUGAGUAACAUUCAUUUAUUCCUGCCAACAUCACCCCUCCCGCCUUGCCUCCCUCUCUCUCUCAGACUUCUACUGGACUCUGUCUAGGCACCAGGAGCCCCUAGUUUACAGGAACAACCCUCGGCCAGUCUGGAGAAGAAGAUAUGAAAACCAGCUGUCACAGAUGAGACUGAUAAUGAAAGAUCACUCUGGAGGCCGAGCGGAAGAUGGAUUGGGAGUGGGACACUGAAGGACACCAGGGACUUCAUUAGAGAACUCGUCAUUGUCUGGCUGAGAAAUGACCGGGGUCCGGCAGAGGCUGAGGCAGCAGGAAGAUUAUCUCAUUUAAUCUCCUCAAC
rnacentral:lncRNA from 1 species